rnacentral:rRNA from 1 species
UACGUAGGGUGCGAGCGUUGUCCGGAUUUAUUGGGCGUAAAGGGCUCGUAGGCGGCCUGUCGCGUCGGGAGUGAAAGCCCACUGCUUAACGGUGGGUCUGCUUCCGGUACGGGCGGGCUGGAGUAUGGCAGGGGAGACUGGAAUUCCCGGUGUAGCGGUGAAAUGCGCAGAUAUCGGGAGGAACACCGGUGGCGAAGGCGGUUCUCUGGGCCUUACCUGACGCUGAGGAGCGAAAGCGUGGGGAGCGAACAGG